GCUUGCUUAAAAGUUCGUCAAAAAUGUUUUCAAGUUAUUGGUAAAGGUAUACGACCCUGGAAAAGAAUCAAAGAAUCUAACAAACUUAUCUCUUAAAUAAAGAUAUUAAAGUUCAGGGCCAAGUAAUGACCAAUAUCUUAAAUGAUAUAUACUCAAACAAUGAUAUGGAAAAAGGUAAAGAAAUGCUGUUUUCCACUGGUGGUUCCAAAGUCCCCAUAACUCUAGGUCAAACUUGUAUGAAACAGACAGAAAUACCGUUUUCAGAGUUUAACAAGUUAGUUAUUUGUUUGCAGUUGACUCAGUUCAAAUCAAAUAUUCUCUUGAAGACCUUCAGGCAAAAUGGAGUUAAGUUUGAAAGUAAAAUGGAAAAGAAAUUGAAUGAUAAAACAAAGAUACUUAAGCACUUCUAUGUUUUAGAAAAUGUUUUUUUGGAGGAUAAAAAGAAAGGGAUACUAAAUCAUAUAAAAAGAGGUUUAGUUUAUGUAAAAGAUAUUACAAAAUAUCUUGAGUUUUUUAUUGAGUAUAGAAAGCAGGAUCUCCUCAAUACCUUUGUAAGA
rnacentral:lncRNA from 1 species